UGAAAGGUGUCCUCAGGCUGGCCCAGU
rnacentral:piRNA from 1 species